ensembl:lncRNA
GUUCAGUUCCUGCGUCUCAUCCUAUCUCCUCUGCAGCCCUUGCCCUCAUGGUUCCUCACUGCUAAGGGACAGAUCUUGGCGCUGCGUGGCUCCGGGGUAUGUUUGAGUUAUUUGGUGGUGAGCAGUACGACAAGUUUCACCUUGCUUGUCACUGCAGGGCAAACGGUCACAUCUGGGUUUCCAGAAGACAUGCCAUUCCUUUUGACAUUAGAACAAGACGUCCCAGGGAGAUGAAAUGACCAAACAACCCGCUAACUCCCCCAACAUCAAAUGGCGAGAAAGAAGCCAAAAUGGAGACAGAAGUUACCAGGGAGA